GGACCUACACAAGCGGUGGAUCACGUGGCUUAAUUCGACAACAAGCGAGGAACCUUACCAGGGCUUGACAAACUAUUGAAGGCGCUUUGAAAAAUGCGCUUACCCGCAAGGGACAAUAGUCCAGGUGCUGCAUGGUUGUCGUCAGCAGGUGGCUUGAGUUGCUCCCUUAAAUGGGGUAACCUGCGCAACCCUUGUCCUAUGUUUUAUAUGUCAUAGGAGACUGCCUAGGACGACUAGGAGGAAGGUGAGGAUGACGCCAAAUCAGCAUGGCCUUUUGAUGCCCUGGGCUGCACACGUGAUACAAUGGAGCCGACAAUGGGAAGCGAAAGAGUAAUCUGGAGCUAAUCCUAUCAAACGGCCCCCCAAUACGGAUUGAGGUCUGAAACCCGACCUCAUGAAGCCGGAAUCGCUAGUAACCGCAGAUCAGCCAUGCUGCGGUGAAUAUGUCCCUGGGUCUU
rnacentral:rRNA from 1 species